ACGACCUUACUUGAACAGGAUCUGUUCUAUAGGCUCGUAUCACUGAAUCCUUGAUCUCUAAGGAGACAGGUUUCCAAGUCUGGUUGAUGAAGUUAUGGCCAUGUGAUCAGAGCGUGAUUAACAUCCAUCCGUGGCUCCCUUGAGUUGUGGUUGCAGCAGAUGAUCGUUCUUAGACCUGAUCUCAGUCCUAGGAUGGUCUCAUGGCUGUCUGACAGACU